AGUGAUAUGCUUGUCUCAAGGGCUAAGCCAUGCAUGUCUAAGUAGAAGCCCGCCUCCGGCGGGCGAGACCGCGAAUGGCUCCAUACAACAGUCCUAGUUUACUGGGCGAUCGUGGCCUAUUUGGAUAACUGUGGUAAUUCUAGAGCUAAUACAUGCCCCCGAGCUCCGACCCUCGGCGUGCUUGCGCGCCGAUGCGGAAGGAGCGCUUUUACUAGCUCAAAGCCGACCGGGCCCGCUUCGGCGGCCCGCCGUUUGGUGACUCAAACAAACUGUCAGAUCGCGAGGCGCCCUCGCAGGCGUCCGCGACACGUCCUUCAAGCGUCUGCCUCAUCAGCUUUGGACGGUAGGUUACACGCCUACCAUGGCGGCAACGGGUAACGGGGAAUCGGGGUUCGGUUCCGGAGAGGGAGCCUGAGAAACGGCUACCACAUCCAAGGAAGGCAGCAGGCGCGCAAUUUACCCCAUCCCGGCACGGGGAGGUAGUGACGAGGCGUACCGCCGCGGGCCCCCGCGCGGGGCUACGUGGGCGGAAUGAGCACAUUUUAAGUCCUUAAGCGAGGACCCAUUGGAGGGCAAGUCUGGUGCCAGCAGCCGCGGGAACUCCAGCUCCGAUAGCGUAUGUUAACGCUGCUGCGGUUAAAGAGCUCGUCGCCGGAUGUCGGCCUCGGAGGGGCGGUUCGCCGGAGGGCGACACUUCCUCUACCGGGCGCAGUGACGCGGCCGCGCCAGCGGCGGUAUCCGGCGGGGGGACUGCGGGUCUUUACGCGGGCGCUCGGACGGGCGCGCCGUUAGCACUUCCGAGGACGCCGGUGCCCUCUCCUCUUGUCUACCCGCGAGGGUGCUCGAGUGACGGCCCGCGCUAUCAGCCUCGGUCGCGGCUUCGGCGGUCAACGCUCCCCGGGAUUGCUCCGAUCCCAGUCUCUUGCGGUACCCGGGCGGGAGUGCCGGCUUCCGUACGCGGUCGGCGCAUUCGGUUUCCUCCGGGACUCCGAUCGCCGCACUAGCGCGGUCUGUCCGGUCCCGUCUUUUUCCGGGCCGCUUCACCGCCUUCCGUCCGCGACAAAAAGGCGCGGCGUCUUGCGUCGGUUUCCUUGAGAAAAUUGGAGUGCUCAGAGCAAGCUGCUCAGGCUCGCACAGGAGUGCGCGGAACUAGCCCAGCGGUCCCGGUCCGUUUCUUUCUGUCGGCUUCGGGGACCGGGUCCAGGGUCAAUGGGGACGGCCGGGGGCAUUGGUACUGCGGCGACAGAGGUGAAAUUCAGGGACCGUCGCAUGACCCGCGACUGCGAAAGCAUUUGCCCAGAACGUUCCCGUUGGCCGAGAACGAAAGUCGGAGGCUCGAAGGCGAUCAGAUACCGCCCUAGUUCUAACCUUAAACGAUACCGACCGGCGAUCCGCCGCAGGAGGCGCGCGUUUGCGCCUCGGCGGGCAGCCCACCUGGGAAACCCGAGUAUUCGGGCUCCGGGGGGAGUAUGGUCGCAAGGCCGAAACUUAAAGGAAUUGACGGAAGGGCACCACCAGGAGUGGAGCCUGCGGCCUAAUUUGACUCAACACGGGGAACCUCACCAGGUCCGGACCCCGGCAAGAUUGACAGGUUCACACGACACAGCCCUUUCUCGAUCCGGUGGGGGGUGGUGCAUGGCCGUUCGUGGUUCGUGGAGCGAUCUGUCUGGUUCAUUCCGGUAACGGGCGAGGCCCCGGCCGGCUUACUAGAGCGGGGCUCCCCGAUGGGCGCCCGACGGCUCUUCUUAGCGGGACGGGUGGCGGGAAGCCACACGAAGUCGGGGCAAGAACAGGUCCGUGAUGCCCUUAGAAGUCCUGGGCCGCACGCGCGCUACACUGACGGAGUCAGCGCGCUCUCGUCUCCCAGUCCGAGAGGACUCGGGAACCGCUGAACCUCCGUUCGUGCUGGGGACUGGGGACUGCAACUGUUCCCACGAACGAGGAAUUCCUCGUAGGCGCGAGUCAUCAGCUCGCGUCGAUUACGUCCCUGUCCUUUGUACACACCGCCCGUCGCUACAUCCGAUCGAGCGAUCGAGCGAGGUUUUCGGACCCGGCCCGGCGCCCUGUUGCCGCAAGGCUGGGGCGUCGGUGUUUCCAGGAAAGUUGCCCGAGCUGGAUGGCUCAGAGGAGGUAUAAGU
rnacentral:rRNA from 1 species